rfam:Smithella sp. D17 contig_247, whole genome shotgun sequence.
GGCCCCAUCGUCUAGUGGCCCAGGACACUAGGUUCUCAUCCUAGAAACACCGGUUCGACUCCGGUUGGGGUCA